CAAAGAGUGGAUGUGAGAACAGUGAGGUGAGCCAAUAAGGACUGUGGAAGAUUCAAAAAAAUCUUGCUCCAAAAAAAGCAUCAUCAUGAUUAAAAUAUCCAGCAAGAACUGUGGUUAGUGUGAGAUGUAGUCAUAUAUUGCCUGCUGUACUUCUUCUAAGAUUUGGUACAAUUUGAUUCUACUGAGUGCUUCAGAUGGAAAUCACAUGACCCCUUACCAAAAAAUCAAAGUCUGAUUAUUCACUUUGUACAAAGUUACUGAGAAAGUGGUCAAGAAGUGAAUAGAAUACAGAAAAAGUACAGACUUGCAAAUUGCGGAGAUUGAAGAGUGCUUUGAAACACUCCAUGGAAAGAACCAGUCCAGGAAUUCAGACGGGAUUCUGAACAGUGUUCUUUGCUGAUUAUUUUCUACCAUGUGCCAGGAGAUCUGCCUGACAGAAGGAAUUCCUUGAGGAACUGGUUAAUACAACUGUGGAGAUACAAAACUGAUUGUUAAGCUACUUCACAUGAAGGAAAAAAAAUUACACUGUGGAAUAUCCCAGUAUGGCUCUUGAAACAGUUUUUUCUUUACAAGUACAUGUGGAGUUUGGGUCAUUCCUAUGUAUCUUUUCUAUGUGUAAGACUACAGAAAGAUCCCUGAUUUGUAUUUCAGAAAUAUAAGAUAGAAUAUCUUACCAAGACAGGACAAGGUGAGAAAUAUGUUUGUGGACAAUCUAAAUUCUUCCAAGACAAUACCACGGCAGUGGACAAAAGAGCUCUAUAUAACCAUUCUUCUCCAUCUUUCUUCAGAAGUAUGAUAAUGAGUUUUCAGCCACAAUCAGAUUUUAACAACAGUAUCACUGCAUUAAUGUAAUGGAAAGAAUUUACUUUUUUUGUCCUGUUAUCUUUGACUGCAGAGCUGAGCAUUUCUCAUCUUUUCUCCUUAUGCUCUGAACACCUUUAUUAUAUACAUGAAUUAUUAUUUCCCAGACAUUCCACAUUCCUAAUGAAAUCCUCUGAAUAACGGAUGUCACAGACCCUCUCUGCGGACCAACUAAAUCAUUCGCUGUACAAAUGUGAUUCACUUUCUCUUCUGUUUCCUCAUUGCAUAAAUAUUCUGAUCCCCAUACUGAGAACACGUAUCGGCAGUGCUCAGUCAGGCUCUUGCGUAAAAGGAACUGCCUGAGAGUGGACAACUGAUGCGUGCAUAUGGAGGGGAAUCACAGCUGCAUGUACAGGGCUGUGGAGAAGGGGACUCACCACGGCGUGGCCAGUGGAAUGACAAACGUCCACCAAGAUGGUUAUUCCUGACUACCACAACAAAUAUUCACGGCUUUGUCACUGAAGAGAAGGUUGAGUAAUAUUUGAGCAUAUCUAUUUAGAACUGAAAACUGGACUUGUUCCCAGCCCUUCUUUGUAACCCAGAGCUUACAGAGAUAUGCCAAAAGUACACUUACCCACCCGAGGUGUGCCAGAUACAAAGUGGGUAGAGCACAGAAUGUUUUAACCUUGCAGCUACACAGACAGCUUUCAACUGCAUCUCUGUUUAAACAUUCAUCAUUACAGUACAACCUAAUUUUCAUACUCACAGACAAUGAAUAUGCAGUCUAGAUCAUCCCCAGCAAAAUACAGUUUGUAGCUGUAAGGCAAUUACAUAUGCCAGGACCAUACCACCCUGUAUUUUUGCCAAAAUAAACACAUCACAGUGGAGAAAUCCAUAUGUUGUUUAUACUUUACAGAACACACCUCUUUGGCUGACCAGGACCAUGGGGAAGAUUUGAAUGUCACAAUAGUCUUACUGAAAAUGAACAGAGAUUUUUUUUGUUUCUCACUGGUACAGCAUUUGUGAAAUAUUGAGCAAGAUAAUCUGAUACGUUUAAAAAAAUAGAAAUUUUCAAUUUUAUAUCUGUGAUUUUUUAUCCAAAGAGAAAUUCAAAUAAAACUUCCAUUGGAAAAUUUAUCCUCUCUGUAAAUAUACUCUGUUUAACUAAAUUCACUGAUGUCAAGUAAGUCCUCUUUCUUAGAGGAAUGGUAUUGAUACAGGCAUAAU